CUCUGCAGCAGGGUAAUACAGUACCUGUUUUAUUGCUGACGUGUUUCAGUUAUUUUAAACACUUUUUCCUGGAGCAGAUCUAUUAAAGAAGCAUUUUCCAGUAUUAUUGCAGUUUCUUCCUCUGUACAGUUGCCUGGGACCUCUGCAUAGAUCUUCAGUGGACUUCUCUUUCGACAACCAAAGUCAAGAUUCCUUUAGAACCCCAGAAAGAACAACCCCCCUUCAUGUAUAAUAACAAGCUUUAUAUAAAGAGUAAUUGUAUCCAGAGAUCACCAUCUUCUGAAGCAGUAGCUCCCACAGCCCCUCACUGGACUCACAGCCUGGAAGCCUCUGUCCAUGCUUCCUUGAUGGAGAAAGGAUGAAGAGACACCUCUCUCUGAAGACCAGCAGCCUGCAGGAGAAGGGACAUGGAUAAUUUUUCUUUCUUUUCUUAAGUCACUGUGUAGGCCAUAAUACAAGUUUGAAGGCUGGCCCCAGUGCCCCAUAGAGCACAGCUAAAAAUCCCAUUUCUUGAUGCAGACAUGUGCACGAGUUCCUAAUCCUGUUUCACAAGAAAAAAUAGAGUAAUGAUGUGAUACUUCUGUGCUGCCCUGAGGAAAAAUUCUGUGAACAUGCCUUCUAAUCUCUCGAACUGAAGUGAGUCUGUCCUGGAAACUUCAGCACGCUUCCAAGAGAAGUGUCAUCCUAGGUAACAGUGGUUUCUUUCCAAGACACUUGUUCCUCUGGGUACAGUUGCUAUUUGUAAAUGAUUCAGACUAAUGUCUCAUAGUCUGCAGGAACCUUCAGUCGUGACACAGAGGGCAGCUGUGCUAACCUUGCUUUAUCCUCGGGGGUUUGGGGCAAGGCAGCUCUUGGACUCAUUGGUGUCACUGAGCUUUAGGCCUCCGUGUCACAGGGAUGAUACUGUUCUUUUUGAGGUGGGAAUAUGUCAUGCAGUGGGUAUUCUGGUGUUGGGUGUAGUAGUUUUUGAUGAACAUUUUGCCAUAAAUUAGACUAAAUGAGUGGGAAUCGAUUUCUGAUUUAAGGCACCUGAAGUUUCCCUCAGUAGCAAAGCUCACUCCAGAGAUGGCAAAUCAUGUCUCCUUUCAGAGACAUGAAGCAUAUUUCAGUAAGUACACAUUACAUAACUUGUCCCACAUUUCUUUCUCUUUUUAGCAUCCCAGUGUUAUGAAAAAUUAUGUUCCCAUUAAUCAUUAUAGCCACUCAUAUUUUUCUGUGAAAAUAAAUCACCGUCCUCUGCCCUUCCUGCACAGGAACAUAUUUAAAUCAAAACAAAGAUACGUCCACGAUUGGUUCAGGGAAGGGAGUGUCGGCUAAUGUGGCUUUGCUGCUGCAGAAGGAUGAAAGCAGGAUUUGUCUCUGUACUCAGUGGAUUGCAAUGCUGUGUGGUAGUGUCACUUGCCAAAUAAGAUUUCCCCUUUAGCACAUGCAGAGCCCGCUUGAAUGUCAGUGGAAACAGCGUGCACUCAGUGCGGGGGGACCUGCAGCUGAGUCCUGGGGGUAACGUUGAACCUGCUGCCUAUUUUGUUCUUCCUACAUCUGAAAACAUUUGGGCUGGAAAAGCUAGAAAGCACCUAUACUACUGGGAGAAACCAGCAGGCCUCUAAAUUCCUGACUUAGAUUGUCACCAGCUUUAUUGAGACUGUGUUUAGAAAGCAUUUAAAUCUAGGUGUCCAAAAUUGCAUAUGCAGCACCAUAUGCAGGCUACAGAGCAGGGGGCUGAUUUUAAGACAUGAUGGGCAUUUAGGCAUUUACUGUUUUCAGAUCUCAGGGCUUCUGAAAAGACAUUUUUAUUUACAUGUUUUGAACGUGAAUUUAGGGACUUACCUUAUGCAGCAGUGUAAAUAGAGAGGCUAGGCUAUUUUUAGAUUUCACAAUGCGAUACUGGGCAAAAGGACUUUUGAAGCAGAGAUGGCUGGUUACCAAACCACAAACUUGGACCAACAUUUUUCAGAACUGUCUCUUUCUCUUUAUUCAGGACACAUGAAAACCUAGGGAGUAAGUUAAAGGCUAGUUGUAGAUGAUUCUCAGGGAACAGAUCCUCUACUGGGAAGUCAGUUUUCUCCAGCGAAGAGAUCUGAGGAAAAUUCACCCUUAGGACGGACUGAGUUUUCUUUUAAGUGUAUAUAAGAUAAUUCUGUAUUAGUUGUACAAGGGAAAUUAGUUCUUUAUUUGUCCUCUGAAGAGAGAGAAAUUUGCUUUGGUCUUUUGGAAGAGCACAUGCUGUAUUUUGGAAAAUGAAUAUGCAAUACAAUAAAGACAGAAAUUUUAGUGCAAAAUGAAUCAGUUUCAUUCAGACAAUUGAAUAUUUAAGAAUCAAGCUUUUCUGUUGACCUGUUCAAUUUUGGCUGAGAAAUUAAAUCCUUACACAGUGAAGGUAGUAGAAAUAAAGAUGUCAUCCAAAUAAACUCUGGUCAUCUUCAGCUGACAAUCAUGCAACCAAAGAAAGGGAUGUUCCUCUUGCAACCAUGCAAUAUUUGCUGACCUUGGAGGCAUUGGGUGUCAUUUAACAACCAGGCUUGUGAGGCAGGGACACCUGGACGUGUUUUAGAAGCUUUCAGAUAUUAUUUGUUUAAUAAAGUCACAGAAUAAUUAUUUAUUAGUAAGGGGAUAGUUCUAAAGCUCUAAGUCUGGCAUUUGUGAAGGUUCUUCUAUAGGUGUUUUCCACAGGCACUCAGCAGAGAAGAUGUAGGGUGUAUUGCUGUUGUGGUUUUUUCCCAAUAAUCAGAAAUGAGAUGUAGGCCUCACUUCUAAGCUUAUGGUCUGGCUGAACUUGUUUUCUGUUUGGUAUUUUCAUUAUCAAGGAAGGCUCAGAGUUUCUCUCUUGUCACUAUUAAUUUUGCUGAGGGAAAAGACAGGUCUUUGUUCACCACCAAAGUGGUCUCCUUGUGGAAAAAAUCCAACAUGGACAAAAAUUCAACACUAUUGCCACCAUUGAAACAACACAAACUACCAAUUUGAUUUUGGGCAGGUUUUUUUUCCUUGUCUCACAUGUAGGGAACUAAUUUCUGCAGUCAGUAAUGCAAAUUGUUAGCAGCCAUCUUUAGUGAAUUUUCCCUGAGAGGUAUGGAUAAUGUUGCUGCUCUGCUUUGUGGCAUUUCCAGUGUCUGGGUAUUUUCUGGUGAUGCCAUUAACUUUGAAGUUAAUUAGAAUACUUCAUGGCUGAAAUGUAGAGUUCGGCAGAUAUUCUAAGUUGGCAGUGGUGAGUUAGAAGUAUCAUUUCUUUGUUGCUCUGUCAUCAAGACAAGUCAUGA